GAAAUCCUGUCUGAAGAUGGGGGGACCAUCCUCCAAGGCUAAAUACUCGUGAUCGACCGAUAGUGAACCAGUACCGUGAGGGAAAGGCGAAAAGAACCCCGGGAGGGGAGUGAAAUAGAUCCUGAAACCGCAUGCAUACAAACAGUCGGAGCCUCGUAAGGGGUGACGGCGUACCUUUUGUAUAAUGGGUCAGCGACUUACGUUCAGUAGCAAGCUUAACCGUAUAGGGCAGGCGUAGCGAAAGCGAGUCCGAAUAGGGCGUUCAGUUGCUGGGCGUAGACCCGAAACCAGGUGAUCUAUCCAUGGCCAGGAUGAAGGUGCGGUAACACGUACUGGAGGUCCGAACCCACUAACGUUGAAAAGUUAGGGGAUGAGCUGUGGAUAGGGGUGAAAGGCUAAACAAACCUGGAAAUAGCUGGUUCUCUCCGAAAACUAUUUAGGUAGUGCCUCGUGUCUCACCUUCGGGGGUAGAGCACUGUCAUGGUUGGGGGGUCUAUUGCAGAUUACCCCGCCAUAGCAAACUCCGAAUACCGAAGAGUGCAAUCACGGGAGACAGACAUCGGGUGCUAACGUCCGGUGUCAAGAGGGAAACAACCCAGACCGCCAGCUAAGGUCCCCAAAUAUAGCUAAGUGGGAAACGAAGUGGGAAGGCUAAAACAGUCAGGAGGUUGGCUUAGAAGCAGCCACCCUUUAAAGAAAGCGUAAUAGCUCACUGAUCGAGUCGUCCUGCGCGGAAGAUGUAACGGGGCUAAGCUAUAUACCGAAGCUGCGGAUGCGUGCUUGCACGCAUGGUAGGAGAGCGUUCCGUAAGCCUGCGAAGGUGCGUUGAAAAGCGUGCUGGAGGUAUCGGAAGUGCGAAUGCUGACAUGAGUAGCGAUAAAGGGGGUGAAAGGCCCCCUCGCCGUAAGCCCAAGGUUUCCUACGCAACGUUCAUCGGCGUAGGGUGAGUCGGCCCCUAAGGCGAGGCAGAAAUGCGUAGCUGAUGGGAAGCAGGUCAAUAUUCCUGCACCGUCGUUAGAUGCGAUGGGGGGACGGAUCGCGGAAGGUUGUCCGGGUGUUGGAAGUCCCGGUCGCUGCAUUGGAGAAGGCGCUUAGGCAAAUCCGGGCGCGUAAUUCAAGGGUGUGGCGCGAGCUCCUUAGGGAGCGAAGCAAUUGGAAGUGGUUCCAAGAAAAGCCUCUAAGCUUCAGUCUAACGAUGACCGUACCGCAAACCGACACAGGUGGGCGAGAUGAGUAUUCUAAGGCGCUUGAGAGAACUCGGGAGAAGGAACUCGGCAAAUUGGUACCGUAACUUCGGGAUAAGGUACGCCCUUGUAGCUUGACUGGCCUGCGCCAGGAGGGUGAAGGGGUUGCAAUAAACUGGUGGCUGCGACUGUUUAAUAAAAACACAGCACUCUGCAAACACGAAAGUGGACGUAUAGGGUGUGACGCCUGCCCGGUGCCGGAAGAUUAAAUGAUGGGGUGCAAGCUCUUGAUUGAAGUCCCGGUAAACGGCGGCCGUAACUAUAACGGUCCUAAGGUAGCGAAAUUCCUUGUCGGGUAAGUUCCGACCUGCACGAAUGGCGUAACGAUGGCCACACUGUCUCCUCCCGAGACUCAGCGAAGUUGAAGUGUUUGUGAUGAUGCAAUCUACCCGCGGCUAGACGGAAAGACCCCAUGAACCUUUACUGUAGCUUUGCAUUGGACUUUGAACCGAUCUGUGUAGGAUAGGUGGGAGGCUAUGAAACCGGAACGCUAGUUUCGGUGGAGCCGUCCUUGAAAUACCACCCUGGUUUGUUUGAGGUUCUAACCUUGGCCCGUGAUCCGGGUCGGGGACAGUGCAUGGUAGGCAGUUUGACUGGGGCGGUCUCCUCCCAAAGCGUAACGGAGGAGUACGAAGGUACGCUAGGUACGGUCGGAAAUCGUGCUGAUAGUGCAAUGGCAUAAGCGUGCUUAACUGCGAGACCGACAAGUCGAGCAGGUGCGAAAGCAGGUCAUAGUGAUCCGGUGGUUCUGUAUGGAAGGGCCAUCGCUCAACGGAUAAAAGGUACUCUGGGGAUAACAGGCUGAUACCGCCCAAGAGUUCAUAUCGACGGCGGUGUUUGGCACCUCGAUGUCGGCUCAUCUCAUCCUGGGGCUGUAGCCGGUCCCAAGGGUAUGGCUGUUCGCCAUUUAAAGAGGUACGUGAGCUGGGUUUAAAACGUCGUGAGACAGUUUGGUCCCUAUCUGCCGUGGGCGUUGGAUAUUUGAAGGGGGCUGCUCCUAGUACGAGAGGACCGGAGUGGACGAACCUCUGGUGUACCGGUUGUCACGCCAGUGGCAUCGCCGGGUAGCUAUGUUCGGAAGAGAUAACCGCUGAAAGCAUCUAAGCGGGAAACUCGCCUUAAGAUGAGAUAUCCCUGGGGACUAGAUCCCCUUGAAGGGUCGUUCGAGACCAGGACGUUGAUAGGUCGGGUGUGUAAGCGCAGUAAUGCGUUCAGCUAACCGAUACUAAUUGCCCGUAAGGCUUGAUCCU
rnacentral:rRNA from 1 species